GACGAACGCUGGCGGCGUGCCUAAUACAUGCAAGUCGAACGCAGUGGGGACGGGUGAGUAACACGUGGGUAACCUCCCAUCAGAGGGGAUAACACUUGGAAACAGGUGCUAAACCGAUACGGAUGGAUGGACCCGCGGUGCAUUAGCUAGUUGGUGAGGUAACGGCGCACCAAGGCCACGAUACCUAGCCGACCGGUAGGGGUGAUCGUCCACCCUGGGAUUGAGACACGGCCCAGACUCCUACGGGAGGCAGCAGUAGGGAAUCUUGGACAAUGGGCGAAAGCCUGAUCCAGCCAUGCCGCGUGUGUGAAGAAGGUCUUCAGAUUGUAAAGCACUUUAAGUUGGGAGGCGUUACCAACAGAAUAAGCACCGGCUAACUUCGUGCCAGCAGCCGCGGUAAUUC
rnacentral:rRNA from 1 species